rnacentral:rRNA from 1 species
GAUGAACGCUAGCGGCAGGCUUAAUACAUGCAAGUCGUGGGGCAGCAGGACUGUAGCAAUACAGUUGCUGGCGACCGGCAAACGGGUGCGGAACACGUACGCAAUCUACCCAGAACUGGUGAAUAGCCCUCCGAAAGGAGGAUUAAUACACCGUAAUAUUAUAAAGUGGCAUCACUUAAUAAUUAAAGCUCCGGCGGUUUUGGAUGAGCGUGCGGCCCAUUAGGUAGUUGGUUGAGGUAAUGGCUCCACAAGCCUGCGAUGGGUAACUGGUGUGAGAGCACGACCAGUCACACGGGCACUGAGACACGGGCCCGACUCCUACGGGAGGCAGCAGUAAGGAAUAUUGGCCAAUGGACGCAAGUCUGAACCAGCCAUGCCGCGUGGAGGAUGAAGGCCCUCUGGGUUGUAAACUUCUUUUAUGGGGGACGAAAUCACUUAUUCUUAAGUGUCUGACGGUACCCCAGGAAUAAGCACCGGCUAACUCCGUGCCAGCCGCCGCAGUAA